GGAACAUAUCUUCAUGGUUUUCUACGUGUGAAACCGUGCUGUUCAUUUGGUAGACUUAUCAAGCAAAGAUUCGUUACAUUCAUUUCAUUUGUUUAUGUUUAAGCUUGUAACUGUGGAAAGCAUCCUUAUACAAUUUGUUCGUUGAAGAAGUAGGAGAUUGUUGAUUUAAUAAAUGGUGCAACAUUUUCCGUACAUUUCAACUAGAUACAAGAGUAUUCAUGCAAGUUUGUUCAUGUCUUUA